rnacentral:tRNA from 1 species
GGGUUGUGGCUCAGUGGUAGAGCACUUGCCUAGCAUGUAUGAGGCACAGUAAAAGUUCGAUUCUCAGCACCA